CCUACGGGCGGCUGCAGUGAGGAAUAUUGGUCAAUGGGCGAUAGCCUGAACCAGCCACGUCGCGUGCAGGAAGACUGUCUUAUGGAUUGUAAACUGCUUUUUCGGUAGAGUAAAGUGCGUCACGUGUGACGUAUUGCAAGUAUACCGUGAAUAAGGAUCGGCUAACUCCGUGCCAGCAGCCGCGGUAAUACGGAGGAUCCGAGCGUUAUCCGGAUUUAUUGGGUUUAAAGGGUACGUAGGCGGGGCGUAUAAGUCAGCGGUGAAAUUUUGCAGCUUAACUGCAAGCUUGCCGUUGAAACUAUCGUUCUUGAGUGUAGAUGAGGUAGGCGGAAUGUGUUGUGUAGCGGUGAAAUGCAUAGAUAUAACACAGAACCCCGAUUGCGAAGGCAGCUUACCGGGUUAUCACUGACGCUGAGGUACGACAGCGUGGGGAUCAAACAGGAUUAGAUACCCGUGUAGUC
rnacentral:rRNA from 1 species